rnacentral:rRNA from 1 species
UACGGAGGAUGCAAGCGUUAUCCGGAUUUAUUGGGCGUAAAGCGUCCGCAGGUGGUUUUCCAAGUCUGCUGUUAAAGCGCGAGGCUUAACCUCGUACAGGCAGUGGAAACUGGAUGACUAGAGUAUGGUAGGGGUAGCGGGAAUUCCCAGUGUAGCGGUGAAAUGCGUAGAUAUCGAGAGGAACACCGGCGGCGAAGGCGGGUAGCUGGGCCGACACUGACGCUGAGGCGCGAAAGCCAGGGGAGCGAACAGG